rnacentral:lncRNA from 1 species
CAAAAAUAAAUUUAAUAUAUUCAAUUUUAUUUAUGCAUUUUAAUCCAUUAAGCCCAAUUGAAAUUGGGCCUAAAACUAGGAUACAUUAAGCCCAAAACUAUUUUUGGAUUUAAACGCAAAAAAUUGAAACAUUUCUGCCCGAAUGAAAACUUAUGAAACCAUAGGGACCUUCAUGAUAAAAACCAUGAAACCCUAAAAUCAUAUUUUUCUUUCUUUCUUCUUCCCCAGCCGCCAUCUCCACAAAGAAGUCACUGUUCAUCCAAGUCCGACGCCGAUUUAGCUGCCGCCGUCAAGCCGGAAACGUACCAAACACCUCCCUCGCCCUGCACGGAAAGCUCCUGCUCGCGCUGCCUACUGCGUGUGCUGGCUGUUGCACGCGAGCGUGCGCUAGCUGCUGCACGCACAGCGUGCGUUGCUGGCUGCGCGAGCAGCACGCGCUGGCUGCUGGCUUGCAGCGCGCGCUGCAGGCAGCGUGUGCUGCGAGCCGCGCGCUGCUACCGCUGCGCAUGCAGCGCGCGCUUGCUGGCAGCAUGUGCUGCUGGCCGCGCGCUGCUUGCUGCUGGUUACCGCUGUCAAAAUUUUCGGCCUCCGUCGGUUUGAUCUUUAAAAUCC